rnacentral:rRNA from 1 species
AAACCGUUCAGGGGUAAACCUGCGAAACUCGAAUGAACGAACGGGGAGAUUCAUCGUCACUCCGCGGCGUACUGGCGGGCGCCUCGAUGUCACCGAUCUCGGUCGGGCGGCACGGGUCCCGCUAGUCGACGUCCGCGGACGGCGUGCACUUCUCCCUCAGUAAUACAUCGCGACCCGUUCGAUGUCGGUCUAAGCGCCGUUCGGGAGCCCCAUUGUGCACCUUUCGGGGUCACUUUGGGACCGCGACGUGCGCCGACCGGCCGUCGUACGGUAUAAAUUGACGAACCGCGCACGCGUUUCGCGCGCGUCAGGCCCGACGCAAGGCAACGUCGUAUCCUAUGUCCUGCCCGAGUGCGGACGUCGGUGCGGCGCGCCUGUCGUCGCUGCCGUGUUGUCUCUGACAUGUGCGCGUCUCUGUCUGCGAUGAUUCAGUUUCGGGCACUCGCAGGA